UACAGAGGUCUCAAGCUUUGUUCGGAUUCAUUGGGCGUAAAGGGUGCGUAGGCGGCGCGGUAAGUCGGGUGUGAAAUCUUGGAGCUUAACUCCGAAACUGCAUUCGAUACUGCCGUGCUUGAGGACUGGAGAGGAGACUGGAAUUUACGGUGUAGCGGUGAAAUGCGUAGAUAUCGUAAGGAAGACCAGUGGCGAAGGCGGGUCUCUGGGCCGGUACUGACGCUGAGGAGCGAAAGCGUGGGGAGCGAACAGG
rnacentral:rRNA from 1 species